UACGAAGGGGGCUAGCGUUGCUCGGAAUCACUGGGCGUAAAGCGCACGUAGGCGGCUUUUUAAGUCAGGGGUGAAAUCCUGGAGCUUAACUCCAGAACUGCCUUUGAUACUGGGAGCUAGAGUCCGGAAGAGGUGAGUGGAACUGCGAGUGUAGAGGUGAAAUUCGUAGAUAUUCGCAAGAACACCAGUGGCGAAGGCGGCUCACUGGUCCGGUACUGACGCUGAGGUGCGAAAGCGUGGGGAGCAAACAGG
rnacentral:rRNA from 1 species